rnacentral:rRNA from 1 species
GAUGAACGCUAGCUACAGGCUUAACACAUGCAAGUCGAGGGACCGGCGCACGGGUGAGUAACACGUAUCCAACCUGCCCUUUACUCGGGGAUAGCCUUUCGAAAGCAAGAUUAAUACCCGAUCUAAAGGCUGGGGAUGCGUUCCAUUAGGUUGUUGGUGAGGUAACGGCCCACCAAGCCUUCGAUGGAUAGGGGAUCUGAGAGGAAGGUACACUACAUGGGAAGUGAGACACGGUCCAAACUGCGACGGGAGUGAGAAGUGAGGAAGAGUGGGAAAUGGGCGGUAGCCUGAACCAGACAAGUAGCGGGAAGGAUGAAGGCUUAUGGGUCGUAAACUGCUUUUAGAGAAGAAGAGGUAUUAUAUGAAUAAGGAGCGGCUAACUCCGUGACAGCAGCCGCGGUAAUUC